rnacentral:rRNA from 1 species
UAGCCGAUGCUUAUUCUUCAGGUACACGUCAUUUUGUUCCUCCCUGAAAAAGAGGUUUACAACUCAUAGGCCGUCAUCCCUCACGCGAGAUUGCUCCGUCAGGCUUUCGCCCAUUGACGGAAAAACUUCCCCA